rnacentral:tRNA from 1 species
GGAACAGUAGCUCAGUCGGCAGAGCACCUCCCUUUUAAGGAGGGAGUCCGGGGUUCGAAUCCCCGCUGUUCCACCA